rnacentral:miRNA from 1 species
UGAGGCAGGAGAAUUGCUUGAACCCAGGAGGUGGAGGUUGCAGUGAGCCGAGAUCACACCACUGAAUUCCAGCCUGGGUGACACAGCGAGACUCCAUCUC